AGCAGCCGCGGUAAUUCCAGCUCCAAUAGCGUAUAUUAAAGUUGUUGCAGUUAAAAAGCUCGUAGUUGAAUUUCGGGAUCAGUACGCUGGUCGUGCCUUGGUAUGCACUGGUGUCACUGAUUCCUCCCUUCUGAAGAACCGUUAUGCCAUUUAUUUGGUGUGAUGGGGAAUCAGGACUGUUACUUUAGAAAAAUUAGAGUGUUUAAAGCAGGCUCGCGCUUGAAUACAUUAGCAUGGAAUAAUGAAAUAGGACGUUUGAUUCUAUUUUGUUGGUUUCUAGGAUCGACGUAAUGAUUAAUAGGGAUAGUUGGGGGCAUUAGUAUUCAAUUGUCAGAGGUGAAAUUCUUGGAUUUAUUGAAGACUAACUACUGCGAAAGCAUUUGCCAAGGAUGUUUUCAUUAAUCAAGAACGAAAGUUAGGGGAUCGAAGACGAUCAGAUACCGUCGUAGU
rnacentral:rRNA from 1 species